CCGUAAGAUGCCACAUGCUGUUCUCUCAUGACCUGGUGAAAUAGUCCAGCAUAACGCAACAUCAGUGAACUGGUCAUGCUCAAUGGCCCCCACCUACACUAACGUCACACAAUGUGUACCACUGUGUGCGUUUUUGUUGUUUGUCCACAGAAGAGACGAGACAAGAACAGAGACGCAGCGAGGAAGAGUCGCAGAAAGCAGACGGAGAGAGCAGAUGAGCUGCACGAGGAACUCCAAACCUUGGAGCGAUCCAACUCCACACUUCAGAAUGAGAUCGCUGAGCUGAAAAGAGAAAUGGAGAAAUACGAGAGGAUUUUGAAGGAUCACGAGCCGAACUGUUGCCUUCGAGGGUCCACAUCCAGCGACGGGGCCUUCCCUUCAGCUAUCUACUCCACAGCUCCUCACUCCAUAUUCACAGAUCAACGUCUGGUUUCUGCUUCUACUACAUCUGCUCACUUCCAAUCUGAGUCAAACCAAACCCCGUCACAGUCAACCGAUGACGCUUUCCUUUUCGGGGACACGUCUUUGACAAGUCUGCAUUCACUGACGCAAAACACAGCCGCAGCAUCACAAGUUUGUCCCAAGAACCAUCCGAGUCAAACUCCCCAUGCUUCCCUCCCACCAGUGCUUUUUCUCAGCCCCGUUCCACAGCCGCCGACUUGUUCUCCUCCCACAAGCCCUGAGCUGAGCAUGGUUCCGCUAUUUGCCCAAAAACCAAACCAAGAAGUGAUGCCCAGUCCUGCUGCUCUGCUCCCCCAGACCACUCCCUCAGAUGAAGCCCUAUUUCCAUUCUCUCAACUGGUGCUGCUACAGGAUGAUUGUGCUGACGACCCCAUCUUGUCUGAGGCCUUAGACCUUGAUGAAAUCAAUUGUUGGAUCUCAAAUCAGACCGGCUAAUGUCGUGUGCUCUCAAAGCGAGAGGAACUCGCUUUGGUUCACAUGUUUGUUGGACUCGUACGUAGGGUUGCCAGUGCCACCCGUCCCUUAAAAUACAGAAUCGUUCCUUAUUUGCCCAUUAAAUGGUGCGUCCCGUACUGAGCCAAAACAGAACGCUGUUUGUUCCGUAUUUGCAUAAAUGACCAGAACUUCAAGUGAUUUCUGUUUGGUCAGAAUAGAUGAAGUUAGAGUUUUGCUAUUUUUGAUGAAUAAAGUAUUAUUUCUCUUCUAAUCGUGGCA
rnacentral:lncRNA from 1 species